UGACACUAAAAAUACUGAUGUCUGGGUCCCAUCCCCAGAAAUUAUGAUUUAGUUGGUCUGAGGUGGUGUUUAAAAAGAUCUCCAGGUGAUCCUAAUCUGCAGCAAAGCUAAGAACCCCUGACCCGGAGCAGUGCCUCUCUAACUUGAAUGUGUGUGCAAUUCACCUUGAGAAACGCAGGCCUGGAGUGGAGCCUGGUAUCCUGCAUCCCUAAGGAGCCCCCAGGUCUUCACACGCUCCCAACAAGCUGUCUCUGAUUUCUGGAAAGCAGCCCUCAACUGAGACAGGAAUUGGUGAUUAAAUGCUCCCAACUCCCUUGCCCGUUGGGAAGUGGGGACAAUCAUGACGCACGUUCUCCACUGUCUCCCAGAGUCUCCAGCAGGACUGAGUUCCACAGUGAUCACCUGCAUGUCUAGGUCUUACCCGCCAUUCUCCUGCAGAGGGCGCUGUUUCCCUCAUCGAGCACUGCCUUGCGGGACCUCGGCCGCGCUCAACCGACACUGAGUAUUCCCGCCCUUUCUGCAGGAGAGGCAGACCUGCUGCCCAGUGGGACAGUUCUUUCUGAUGCCAAAAGGAGAGCUUGUUUUUCACAAUGAAAACAUGUGUUGUUCCAGUUGGCAGAGUCAAGAUCAGUAGGUAGAAAUGCAGAA
rnacentral:lncRNA from 1 species